GGGGGCGACUUGGCUUCGACGGGGUCGGUGACGCUGUAGCUGCGUGCCCAGGUGCUGGGUCCUGGUAAAACCCUCGGCAAACCUACAACUGCCAACACUGAAAUGGCCCUGGCUGCGUAACUCUUCGGAGUUGCUGUAAGCCUUGCUCCUGGUGAAGCCCGCCCGAGGCGGCGUCAGGAGUAUCGCAAUAUCGGGAUAGUCUGUCGUCGCGCCUCUUGGCGACGGGCGAAAUCUUAGGAGGCUUGUGCAGGGAUGGGCUGCCCACUGGCCAGUUUCUGCAGACAUCAACCGGUGGGCUACGCACGUAGGGGCUGUGGUUGAUCUUGUCUCGGACCGGGGUUCGAAUCCCCGCGCCUCCACUC
rnacentral:tmRNA from 1 species